UAUAUAUAUAUAUAUAUAUAUAUAUAUAUAUAUAUAUGUAUAACUCUGAUGAGCGCAGGGUUACAUAACCGGACUGUUACCUAACAUUCCAUUGAACCCCUAGUGCGAAACCGAAUGGUAAGAUUGGCUGUAAUAGAUUUAUAAUAUUAUACA